CCUACGGGAGGCAGCAGUGGGGAAUAUUGCACAAUGGGCGCAAGCCUGAUGCAGCGACGCCGCGUGAGGGAUGAAGGCCUUCGGGGUGUAAAGCUCUAUCAGCAGGGGAGAAAAUUGCGGUACCUGACUAAUAAUGCCUUGCUAACUACGUGCAAGAAGCCGCGGUAAUACGGAGGGUGCACGCGUUAUCCGGAUUUACUGGGGGUAAAGGGAGCGUAGACGGCGGGGCAAGUCAGGUGUGAAAGCCCGGGGCUCAACCCCGGAACUGCAUUUGGAACUGGGCGGCUAGAGUGUCGGAGAGGAAGGCGGAAUUCGUGGUGUAGCGGUGAAAUGCGUAGAUAUCAGGAGGAACACCAGUGGCGAAGGCGGCCUGCUGGACGAUGACUGACGUUGAGGCUCGAAAGCGUGGGGAGCAAACAGGAUUAGAUACCCGAGUAGUC
rnacentral:rRNA from 1 species